rnacentral:misc_RNA from 1 species
CAUUAUUGGAACGUAGUUUUGGUCAUGACAACAUGGCGCUCAAUGGGGAAAGGUCAGCCCUCUCUGGGCUUUCCGACCUCCGAAAAGAAAAGGCAGAGGAAAAAGAGAACCUCUGGAAAAAGAUCUUGGGAGAAGUGCAGUCAAGUGAACGCAAUAAACUACCAUCAUGGAAAUCAGUCCUUGUGCUAGGUGAAAAUGAAUCCGGUAAAACUACACUGAUCGCUAAGCUACAAGGAAAUGAAGAUCCCAAAAAAGGCUCUGGUUUAGAGUACGCAUACAUAGAUGUCAGGGAUGAAUACAGAGAUGACCACACAAGGCUAAGUGUCUGGGUACUGGAUGGAGACCCUAAACAUGCAGAACUUUUAGAGUUUUCAGUGAAUGCAGACAACUUGGAACACACUUUAGUCUUGCUUUCUGUUUCCAUGACAACACCUUGGGCCAUCAUGGACCAGCUUCACACGUGGGCAUCGACACUCCAGGAUCAUAUAGACAAACUCAAUCUUGAUCCAGACAAGUUUAAAGAACAGCAAGAUAGAAUGUCGCGGUUAUGGCAAGAUUAUGUUGAGCCUGGAGAUGAACUAGAAGCUGGGUCACCCAUGAAGCGAUCAUCAAGAAACCUGGAGAACGAUGAUGAGCCUGUCUUGCCACUCCCAGAGAAUGUUUUAACCAGAAAUCUUGGACUUCAUGUCAUAGUUGUAGUUACUAAGACGGAUUAUAUGUCAACGUUAGAAAAGGAUUUUGACUAUAAAGAAGAACACUUCGACUUUAUUCAACAAUCAAUUCGAAAGUUCUGCCUUCAAUAUGGUGCGGCCCUUUUUUACACCUCGGUAAAAGAGGACAAGAACUGUGACCUGUUGUACAAGUAUCUAGUCCAUAGAAUCUACAACUUCCCCUUUAGAACUCCUGCACUUGUUGUCGAAAAAGAUGCUGUGUUUAUACCUGCUGGUUGGGACAACGACAAAAAAAUUUCCAUCCUUUAUGAAAAUAUGCACACAAUGAGUCCAGACGACUACUACACGGAUGUUGUAGUUAAACCUCCAGUGAUACGCAAGGCAGUUGCGAGGGAGAUAGAAGUUCAAGCAGAAGAUGAACAAGCCUUUUUGGCACGGCAUCUAUCCCAGCUUCAGGCAGGAGGCACUGGUGCCCCCAACACACCCCAGGGUCGUCAGGAAUCCCCACUAAGACAGUCACCAGCUGUGCAGAAGACCAGUGAGCGUCGGGUAUCAACAGGUGUUCCUCCAAAUCAAAUUGGCUCACCAAAGAAGAUGUGGAGGCCGCCUUCUCAGAUUGAGUCGACGAAGCCUGGAGUUACACAAGCCAGUGAAGGUGUUCUUGCAAACUUCUUCAAUUCUCUCCUUAGCAAGAAAACAGGAACAAAUGCUCCUUCCCCUGGGGCAAUAAAAACAAAUGCUGGGUGGGUUGGCCAUGCAUAACCUCCUCUAAAACACCUUGGUCUCUGGCACACUGAACCAUCCUAACACCCUCCCACGACUAGAAACUAAUAAGUGUUGGGAGAAGAUCCUGCAUGGGCCACCCUACUUUAAAGAUAAAGCUGCUAUGCGGUCUGAUGCUGCUGCAGAGUUGGACCGGUUGACACGAUCAAAGAAACCAACAUCUAAUUCUACAGAAACAAACAACUCCUCAGA